UUUCCGUAGGUGAACCUGUGGAAGGAUCAUUCAUAAUAAAGUGUUUUAUGGCACUUUUUAAAAAUCCAUAUCCACCUUGUGUGCAAUGUUAGAUCUCGUCAAUCUUGGCGAAAUUUUUAUACAUCAACUCAUUCUUUAACUAAUUUGUCUGAAAAAUAUUAUGAAUACUUAAUUCAAAAUACAACUUUCAACAACGGAUCUCUUGGCUCUC
rnacentral:misc_RNA from 1 species